UACCAGUGUUGUGGAACUAAUUCUGUGAUGCAAGUUUCUGCUCAAAGAGAAGCAAUGGUCACAGGUGCACGAUGUCAUCAUUUAGCAUAUUGCCACGGACUGUGUUAUUAACGGCAACAUCCCUUAUCUGAAAUAAUUAUUGAACGAGUUCGGGGAUGUCAAACAAAUCUUCAAUCGGUUCAUGGAGGGGUGGAUUUCGAGCGGCUUUAUCGAGCUGGAUGAGAAGUUUGACCUGACCGGCGACGCGAUCGACGACGAGACCAAGGCACUCCAGCCAAAACAGUCAGAUAUGUGCUCUGUGGUCUAAAUGUUCCAAUGCCCGACGCCAAAGCAUCGGUUCUGUCAGAACGAAAUUCCAGCUUAUCUGAUUCGGUCAUUCUUUGCCCCGGAUCCGCGUACUGAUAGCUGUGAUGCGAAUUGGUCUCGAGAAGCUGCCCAUGCCCCAGGAUUACGUGCUCGAGGAAUUGCGGUAUAUGUUGAGCUCGUUCUUCGACGAGGAUCAGCGGAAGCAGCAAUGGAAUAGUGUUUGAACGAAUUAUGUUAUUUUAUUCGUAAUUUGUUUACUGUAUUAAUGAAAUAAAAAAAAACUCUAGAAUGAAUGGAUGUGUAUACAUUCUCUUGUAGGUAAAUUCCAAAAUAAUCACAGGAAGUGAACACAUUAUACAUAUAAAUAAAUAGUGCCUCUGGCUUGUAACGGAAUGUUAUUAUUAUUGGUUCUACAAAUUGCACUUUUAUCUAACCGUGUUUCUGAGACUGUUGAAAAAUUAUGUGGCAACAGAGCGUGUGAAAUAAAUCAUACUAUUCGUGUAUGCUUGGAAACGAAAUAAUUAUGUCUAUGAAUGAAUAAACCGCAGCUGGACUAAAGUUAGUUUUUUAAACGUAUUCUGAAGUGGGGCGGAAGUAUUCACGAUAGGUACGGUAAGAACGCCGUUAUGAUGCAGGAUGUGUGUAAUGUCCGUGAGGCCUGGUCUCACUUUGAUCAUGCUCAUGGUGUGCUACACUCCAACAUUCGGCCUUAUGUGAUUUCCAAGGAACAAACAUAUGAGAACUAGGAUUGGGCGAUCUUGGAUCGAUUUUCAGAAGAUCGAUCUUUUCCAUUUCGAUUUCCGAUUUUUUGAAUCGAUUCAUUGUACCCGAAAAAAUCGCAAAGAUCGAUCUUUUGCUUUCGAUUUUUUUCGAUCCUAGAGUUUUUAGUACAUCGAUUUUAAUCCCAUCUGACAAAUUUUAUAAUCAUUUGAAUAACUUUCGAGGAUGUCAAAUUAGUAAUAGUGAAUAGGAUUGGGCGAUCUUGGAUCGAUGUUUAGAAGAUCGAUCUUUUUCUCUCCGAUUUCCGAUUUUUCGGUCGAUGCUUCCUACUGAAAGAAAAAAAAUCGUGAAAAUCUAUCUUUUCUUCCGAACUUUCUGAUCGUAGAAAACAAAAUAUUGUAAAUUUGUUUUUCAGAGAACAUUGAUUCUUACCAAAAACCGCUUGACAAAUUCAUAAACAUUGGAUCCCUUUCAAUGUCAUUGAAUUAGUGGUCGUAAAUUUAGGAGAAGCAGUUUUGUAAGUUUGGUCAUUACCAAACAAGUGGUCACAAGUUAUAUUUACACCAUCAUAUUCACUAGGCUGACAGUAAAAAUUGUGACGAAAUGGGAUGUUGACAUCAGAUCCGACUGAAGCGUUCUUUACUAGAACUGGGACUGUUGCCAAUAUUUCGACUAAAUGCCAAGCGUAUUAAACGAUUUGAUUCAACGGGAUUAUCGUCAGCGGAGUUCUAGAUGAAUAUCGGUUGUUGAAUUUCUAAUAAUAAUUUUCAAUUAAUUUAUUCAAUUAAAUAAUUCCAUGACGGUUCAAGAUGAAUGCCCUGCAAAAUCCUUUUUUCAGCACUUUCCUGUUUUUUGUGACCUUCAUUCUGAGAAUCAAACUGAAAUGCCUUUGAUGUUUGAAUAGAAAUAUAAAAUGGUUAUUUCAUGUUUAAAGAAAAGACAAUACUUAUAUAGAACAAGUAAA